rnacentral:tRNA from 1 species
GCGUCAUUGGUCUAGUGGUAGAAUAUUCGGUUGCCAUCCGUGUGGCGCGGGUUCGAUUCCCGCAUGGCGUA